CACGUAGGGGGCGAGCGUUGUCCGGAAUUACUGGGCGUAAAGGGCGCGUAGGCGGCUUUGCAAGUCAGUAGUGGAAGUCCAUUUUUCAAGGAUGGAAGUGCUACAGAAACUGCGGAGCUAGAGUGUGGUAGAGGAUGGCGGAAUUCCCGGUGUAGCGGUGAAAUGCGUAGAGAUCGGGAGGAACAUCUGUGGCGAAGGCGGCCAUCUGGACCAACACUGACACUGAGGCACGAAAGCGUGGGGAGCAAACAGGAUUAGAUACCCGUGUA
rnacentral:rRNA from 1 species